rnacentral:lncRNA from 1 species
ACCAGUGCUUAGGAGAUCUUUUUCGUUCGUAUAUAUAUAUAUCAUGGGAACCAAUACGACAGUUCUGACAAGCUAGAAAAUACAUAGAACAGGAAAUCCACAGCUAAGAAAAUAACAGAUCAAUAAAAGGCUAGCUUAAAAAAUAUACACAAAUAUGGAGGAGGAGAUCCAAUAAAUGGCAGCAUAUUCCAUAUCAAACGACGAGUACGUAACAACAAAUAAUAAACUACUACAAGCGGGAAACAAUACAGUCCGACAAGGUAUCAAAUUGUAUAUAGCACCGGUGACAUGACACACCAUUUAAUUGGUAAAUAAGUUAAUGAUAGAUCUCAUGGAUUUAAUGAUUCAUCAAUUAAAUAGUGUGUCAUGUCACUGGUGUUUAACAUAAAUUAAGAACCGGUGUUUAGGAGAUCUUUUUCGUGCGUAUAAAUAUAUCAUGCGAACCAAUACAACAGUUCUGACAAGCUAGAAAAUACAUAGAACAGGAAAUCCACAGCUAAGAAAAUAAUAGAUCAAUAAAAGGGCUUAAAAAAUAUACACAAAUAUGGAGGAGGAGAUCUGAAAUAAAUGGCAGCAUAUUCCAUAUCAAACGACGAGUACGCAACAACAAAUAAUAAACUACUACAAGCGUGGAACAAUACAGUCAGACAAGGUAUCAAAUUGUCAUAAAACCACACACAUGCGUACAUGUUUGACGAACUUCCAUCCGAGAGAGCAAGUCAUUCUGCCAUCUUCAUGCCCGUAAGAUAGACUUGGGACUGGAUCACACUACCGCCAAUCCAGAAACCCGGCAUAACCAUUAGACCCACUUUAGGCUUCUGAUCGCUAUCUUCAAUGACACAAUUUUUCUCAACACUUUCCAUAUAAACUUCCGAGAACUCAGCGCCUCGCUUGACCUGGAAAAUCUUAACUGAGGGAUCAAAAGAAUGUGCCAACCUGUGCAAAAGCCAAAUUGACUUUGCCAGUUUUAGAAAAGCCUGGUAAAAAGCUGUCCUCGGAUGACCACCUCCCAUCACAUAGUUCCGCUGAUCUAGGUUUCCAAAAAACGAAGCCUCCAUCUUUGGGUGAACGACAACUACGUAUUUGCUCCGGCAAAAUUUCUCAAAAAUGGAAUCUGGACUCUGCCCUACGGCAUCUAGUGGAUCCAUUUCUCUUAAGGCGAGAUAUUGGUGGAAUACACUUUCUUUGGUGCCUGAUGGAUUUUCCGAUUUCACGGAGAAGCUUUCAUCCUGAAACCCCAAGAACAUUCUUUGGCAAAUAUGGGAUUCAAAGGCAUAUUUCUUGUGAGCUCUCUUUGCAUAAACAAUGUCCGGCUCUAUGGAGUUUGCCGCCGCAUCAAGAUCCCACCCAGCUGCUUUCAUCAUGUUGAUUAAUGGCUUGGAAAAAUCAUGAAUGGAUUUAUAAGCAGCUUCCACUGCUGACUUGAAAAGAUCAGGGGAUAAGUCCAAAGAAAAUAUCCCAUCUUCAUCGACACCAUCUUUAAAUUCUUUGGUUGACAUGCCCCUAAGCUUGAGGUUCUUCUCCAGUUUUACCCGCUUCUGACUUGCCUCUUGGAUUUUCUGGUGCAGUUGAACAAUCUCGGAGUCUUUAUUCUGAAUUUCAGACUGGAAUUUUUUCACCAUGACCUCAUAAGUCUUCAACAAGCUCUGCUGUUCCUGAAUCUCAGCAGCUAAGCGAGAGUCCUGUGGAGAAACGCACACAGGUUUGGGGUUAUGCUCUCGGUAGAAAUGCUUGAGUUCUGAGAGAUUCUUCAGCUCGGAAAUCACAAGUUUAUCGGCAGCUUGAAUCUUGUCUGGGUCGUAAGGAGUAUGAGCAGAUUGAAGUUGAAUGUAGGCAGACUUCAGGGACGAGAUAUUGGUAAAAAUCUUAGAUACUAGCGCUUCCAUAGCUUCCGGAUUCUGAUUUGCAGCUUCUUCCAUGGGUUGGGGGUGGACCUUUUGGUUAUUGCUGUCUCGGAGCUGGGUAUCCUUCACGCCAGUCUGUUGCAUAUCUACUUGCAAUUAGAAGGAAAUUCACCAAGAUAUUUUUGGCCCCAGAGGAAUUACUGCAGCAAAUCCUGCAAAAUCUGACAAGGUUAUCCAGAGCAUUAGUUAGAAAAUAAAGAAGCGGGCAUUUCAUUUGAAGUCUUGGAAAUACUUAGUCUGGAUAAAAACAUAAUAAUAUAAGAUUAAGAACUAGCAAAAAUUGCUGAAAACACACGACAAGUACAGAUUAAAUAGAUCGUGACUCAACUUCACAUGUUUCUAACUAAAGCUCGCUCAGGCCAUUGAUAUUUGGAUAUGAAUUAAUACUGACUUACCAAAUCAACAUGCUUUGUGGAAUCCACCAAGGAAAUCUCCUCCAGAUCCACUCUUUACCAGCAGUUGUAAUCCAAUCAAAUCAAAGCUAGUAGAUUUUCAUGUCCUAACAAAAUUUUCAAGAUAAAUAGCAGUCCAACAACAUCAUGACCCAGAAAGGAUGGCUAAGAGGGAUAGUCAAUACAAGCAAUUAAAAGGGAAAUCAUUAAUUACAAUGGUGAAGUUUUAAGUCAUAAAAUAUAGCUUGUCAGAAUCACAGGACCUAUACAGACUGGGAUUUGGCUCUUUGAAGGCUAGAUAUGUUAAAUCAAAAACUUCUAAGCAAGCAGUAGCAGUUGCAGCAAAUGGGUGGUACAGUAUCAGAUUCAAUAAAAUUGGUGGACAUGGAAUAUAGCUGGAGUAUCAUAGCCAUGAGUCCAUGACAAUAAUUCAAAGUUUCUUUAAUUUUCAAAAGCAAAACAAGAACAGAAGAAGUCUCGAAUGGGGAUACUGCAAAUCAUGACCAAAGUAAAUUUUCAUAAACAAAGAAAGAUUAUUCUCAAACAUGAUCCAAAUGUCUGAGACUCAGAGAAUUCCAAUUUUUAUCUUUUCAUUUUCUUCAAGAAGUUAGAAAUAUUACUACAGCAGAGAAUAACGUUGGAGGGGGUGGGGGGGGGUCCAGGGGGGGGGGGGGGGGGGGGGGGGGGGGUUACCAUACACCCAUGCUACACACGGUAGGACACAGCUUUCGAUACCCAUGUAGUCAACAAUUUUCCACUGGAAAAAAAGAGGAACGUGGAUAUUCAUCUAUAUUUUCAGCUACACUAACAUCUAUGGUUACUGAUACUGAUUUCCAUUAAAGAAUUAUAAAAGGGACACAGAAAGAACAAAAGAGAAUAAACUUAUUAAUAAAUUCUCCAUAAAGAACAUUUUAAUAAAAUUCUUCAGCCAAUUAAUCUUGCAAACAACACGUCGAGAGAGAGAAUGUUUAGAAACAAUCUCCUACUCUUUUAAUUGUUAAUCAAGAUGGACCAAGAUUUUAAAAAACUAAUCUUCCAUGGAUGUUGCGAAUCUGAGAGAAAGAGUAAAUUAAACCCAGUAAUCACUCAAAUCGUAGAAAUCACAUUAAUUGCUGUUAGUGUGGCCACUUAGUACCUAGAUGGCUAGACAAGCACAAAAAUUUCAAUAGCAAGGACACAAGCAAACUGCAGCUGCCACCCAUAAUAAACAUCUGAAAAGAAGGUCCUUCACUGCAUAGAGUGAUGGACAUAAUAAAUGAUUUUUGAGACCCUGUACGAAUAAAUGUCCUGCCAUCGUGCAAGCCUCCCACUUGAGGCCACUAUCCCUUGAGGAAAAAAUAGAUAGGACACUAGCAAAUCCCAGUGAUAACAAUCAUACAAGGAGAAGACUCUACGUUGCAUUGCAGCAAAGCUGAAUUUCGAAGACUGUAUGCAAAGUAACGAAACUGAAUUUAUUGCACAUGCAAAUAGCCAAUAUAAAAACCAAAGCAAUUACUAAAACCGAAGGUAUGUAUGUUCUUAACCACGUUUAUGGAAUUGCACAUAUUUGAAAAACACGGAGAGGGAAAAGCUAU